rnacentral:rRNA from 1 species
AGUGAACGCUGGCGGUAGGCCUAACACAUGCAAGUCGAACGGCAGCACAGUAAGAGCUUGCUCUUACGGGUGGCGAGUGGCGGACGGGUGAGGAAUACAUCGGAAUCUACUUUUUCGUGGGGGAUAACGUAGGGAAACUUACGCUAAUACCGCAUACGACCUACGGGUGAAAGCAGGGGAUCUUCGGACCUUGCGCGAUUGAAUGAGCCGAUGUCGGAUUAGCUAGUUGGCGGGGUAAAGGCCCACCAAGGCGACGAUCCGUAGCUGGUCUGAGGGGAUGAUCAGCCACACUGGAACUGAGGCACGGUCCAGACUCCUACGGGAGGCCGCAGUGGGGAAUAUUGGACAAUGGGCGCAAGCCUGAUCCAGCCAUACCGCGUGGGUGAAGAAGGCCUUCGGGUUGUAAAGCCCUUUUGUUGGGAAAGAAAAGCAGCAGGUUAAUACCCCGCUGUUCUGACGGUACCCAAAGAAUAAGCACCGGCUAACUUCGUG